CCACAUCUGCUGGUCGCAGCAGGUCCAAGGCCAGCUCGACCCAACGGGCGGGGUCAUAGGCCCCAGCUCUCCGUGGACCGGGAUAAAUCACACGCCCGCGAGCAUGCUGGGAGGCGGACUUCGGGGCCAUCCUAUUUGAUCCGCAAAAACAGGGCAGGAGGGAGAUAACGGAGGGAGACGGUGAAGCAGCUGGGCUACACGGACAAGUUCCUCACUCCAGUACAUCGGGGAGUUAUUCGUGCUCAGGCUGGUGGCAAGCUUCCCCUUGAGCUCGUCACGUUCUUCAGUGCAGCACAACACAGAGUAAAGGUCCAUGGGUGUUUAUGCGGCGGCUGGAGCAGCCAGAAGAACCCUCUGCUCACCAACACCUUCCUCUGUCUCCCAAGUCCUUCCUGUCGGCUCCUUGCAGACAGACGGCUAAGUUCACCUGGGGUAGGACAGAAACAGCCUCGUGUCCCGAUAAGUGUCCCCAGGCGUAGUCAGAGUAAAGGUCGUUGGGAAGUACAGUUGUUAUUACUGCCCGCUCCUUGCACGGUAAGGGCUCUUUCCUCAGAGAAAUGAUUUUGAAAGUUCCUAAAAUUCUCAUAUGAAAAAGAAACUCUCUAAAAUAAAAUAAACUUCGCAUAAGAAUAGUAUCA
rnacentral:lncRNA from 1 species